rnacentral:rRNA from 1 species
UUGACCUCGGAUCAGGCAGGGAUACCCGCUGAACUUAAGCAUAUCAAUAAGCGGAGGAAAAGAAACCAACAGGGAUUGCCUCAGUAACGGCGAGUGAAGCGGCAACAGCUCAAAUUUGAAAUCUGGCUCUUUUAGGGUCCGAGUUGUAAUUUGUAGAGGAUGCUUCGGCGUGGGCUCCGGUCUAAGUUCCUUGGAACAGGACGUCAUUGAGAGGGUGAUGACUCCCUGUAUGUGAUCGGUUCGCCUGUGCCCUGGUGACGCUCCUUCGACUAGUCUAGUUGUGAGGGAAUGCAGCUCGGAGUGGGAUGUAAAUUUCUUCUAUAGCUACAUACUGGCCAGAGACCGAUAGCGCACAAGUAGAGUGAUCGAAAGAUGAAAAGCACUGUGGAANAGAGUCAAAAGUACGUGAAAUGUUGAGAGGAACGCUGAGGUGA